UACGAAGGGGGCUAGCGUUGCUCGGAAUUACUGGGCGUAAAGCGCACGUAGGCGGAUUGUUAAGUCGGGGGUGAAAUCCUGGAGCUCAACUCCAGAACUGCCUUCGAUACUGGCGAUCUCGAGUUCGGGAGAGGUGAGUGGAACUGCGAGUGUAGAGGUGAAAUUCGUAGAUAUUCGCAAGAACACCAAUAGCGAAGGCAGCUCGCUGGGACGGUACUGACGCUGAGGCGCGAAAGCGUGGGGAGCGAACAGG
rnacentral:rRNA from 1 species